ensembl:lncRNA
CCAGGCACGGCCUGCUGUGUGUCCCUCCCUCGUCCUCCAUCCCUUCCGUGCCACCAUCCAUUCCUUCCCUUGUGCUCUUCUCCAUCCCUCCUCCCCAUGUCUCCCGACGGGCCCUGGCUUGUCCCGUGGCACCGUGGUCCCAGUGGUGUGAGCGAGGUCCCUUUGGUUGCCCCUCAUGUCCCCAAGCUGGGCCGUGCCCCCUGUGUCCCUUCCUGCCGUAGGAACGCCCGCAGCAGCUGGCUGCUGUCCCCAGGCUGUGGUAUUUUGCAGACAACAGCUUUUCCCUCCUCGAAUUGUUUUACAGCCCCUUAUGAUCUCUUUUCUCAAUGCUAACAGUUGUCACGAGCUCAGUCGUCUAAGAAUUUGAGACUGGAGUUCACCUAAGGGGACUGGAGUGAACCUAAUGAGGUUGAAUGAGGCCAAGUGCAGGGUGCUGCACUUGGGCCGGGGCGGUCCCAGGUACUUGGAUAAACUGGGCGAAGAAGCCCUUGAGAGCAGCCGUGUGGAGAAGGACUUGGGGGUCCUGGUGGACGAGAAGCUGGACGUGAGCCAGCAGUGUGCGCUUGCCGCCCAGAAGGCCAACUGUGUUCUGGGCUGCAUUACAAAAAGGGUGUCCAGCAGGGAGAGGGAGGGGAUUGUCCCGCUCUGCUCGGCUCUUGUGAGGCCCCAUGUGAAGCACCGCGUCCAGGCCUGGAGCCCCCAGCACAGGAAGGACGUGGCGCUCUUGGAGCAGGUCCAGAGGAGGGCCACUAAGAUGGCCAGAGGGCUGGAGCACCUCUCCUGUGAGGAAAGGUUGAGGGAACUGGGCUUGUUCAGCUUGGAGAAGAGAGGGCUCCGGGGAGACCUAAACCAACGCCUAACCCAAACCCUAACCCUAGCCCAACAUCUAAACCAACACCUAAUCCUAAACCUAAGGCAAUCCCUAAUCCUAAACCUAAGCCAACAGCUAACCCUAACCCAAUCCAUAGCCCUAAGCUUAAGCCUAACCCUAAGCCAAACCCUAGCCCUAACCAUAGCCCUAACUCCAGCACUAACCGUAAUGGUAAACUUAAUGAUAAUCCUAACCCUAACACAAACCCUUCUUUCCGGAGCUGGGGAAACCGACUCCAGAAAUGCCAUCUGAGGGAA